CUCGCUGCACCGCGGCGGCUCUCCUCCACUCGCCGGUGAGCCGAGCAACGGCGCCUGUGCUGAUCACUUCGAUUUGGGCGUCAUGUACACCCAGUUGGCCCAAGGAGCACUCAAGUGGCAGGUCGGAUCUCCCGCUUCAAAGGCGCCCCCCUCCCCCCAAUUCUCUCAUCUUAGAUGCCUUUUAUGUUCCAGUUUUUCAGAGGUUUAGGGCCCUGCAGAUUGAUAUUUGUGGUGGAUUCGAGUACUCAAAACUAUGCACAAAUUGGGUCUGCACCUUUUAGGUGUCAAUGCAAGACUGAAAAGAAAAUCCACCGUUCACUUCAUGGUGAUUUCUGCAAACCGUGUACAACUGAAUCAAUCUCAGUAUUGAAACCAAUUUUCUUGCUGCAUCCGAAGAUGAGUCGGUCGGUGGCUGCAUAUUUCAGACAUCCAGUCUAAUUGGAUGCUACACUUACAUGAGCAUUACAAUGAACCCAGCCUUACAGAAACCAUUGCUCUUACUCUGUUUUAGCUGUGAAAAUGAGCGUUGGCAUGGAAAUGACUUGUGAUAAUUGAUGCAUCUAAGAGCUAUUAUGUCGGUAAGCUCAAAUGGCUACCUAUAGUUUUCUAAAUUGUGUGCAAACUUGGAAUAAUAUUUGCGUAGUAUGGCACACCUAUGGGCAUUGUGAAAGCUACAGGUUAGGCAUGCUAUUUGAAAUGAAUAGAUUGCACCAUGUUGUAGGUUUUAUUGAUUAAUAGCUCCAGGUAAUAUGCGAAACACCAUGCUAUGGAUAUUAUUUGUAAGAUGCUUUCACCCUCUCUCUAAUGUACUUGCAGUAUGAAAUUCCUCACCAAUUUGGCUUCAAUGUGGGAUGAAUGUUGUUUGAUGAUGUUACUGAGAAAGAAUAUGGUGCAUGCUUUGAUGCAGUGAUGGUCACCAUAAAAUCCGAAAAUAAAUGCUGAGCAUCUUUAGCAGAUCAUGGAGUCCUUGACAGUGAAGUACAUGAAGCUUGGGACAAAGCCUGACACAUUCUAUCCCUAACAGGUCGGCAGGUAAAUAUAUCUUUUUUCAACUUUGCGCUCAAUAUUUGUAUCUACUGCGUGUGAUUUUUUUUUUGGUUUCAUAUUCGUGUAUCCAGUUCAUGCUGAUUGCUUCUGCUGAUUGCAAUAUUUGUCGAGCAGUAUUGUAAGGUUUAUCCCAGGAAAACAUUUACCGUAUGUGGUGUAGAGAAUUUGGUUCCACAGGUAUAUCAAUGUAGCACAUAUCUUAUAUUCACUUUUAUCGUGGAUCUUCUAUAAUAAGAAUGGUGUUGUCUGUAUGGAGCUUCAGCUGUUAUCUCAUACUACUAGAGUGUGCAUCGAUUCACUUCUGGCUGGAAUCUUGUGUGAUUGUUGUCCAUAUAUUUUCGUACCUACUAUAUCUGUGGGGUAGAAGCAGCAUCAAACUACCGUAAAUGACUGCCCAGCCCUUAUACCUGAACUGAAUGCGAAAGGUAUGAGUAAAUCAGUCAUUUCCAGAUUUGUCUCAGAUAUUAAAAAUCUUAUUCUAUCGCUUGCUCAUUGUGUAGUCUCUAAAAGUGAGCUGUCUUGGAAACAGAGUUGCCCAUGAGCUGGCUAGAUUAGGUGGAUCAGUUCCUCCUGAUGUUGAGGAGCUGACUAAGGAUGAUUGUAACCAAAGCUCGGUUUCGUGAUGUAAUACGAGCAAUAGUUAAACAAAAAGUACUGUGUGCCGACUGACUAUCCACUAUUGAUUCAAUUUCCUCCUCAGGCACUGAAUGUAAUAGUAGUAGGUCAGCUUAGUUCUCGUGGCAUGCCAGCAUUACUUUUCUUUCGAAAUGGGGAGUUACUGAGUGUGUAAAACAAGAAAUGACCACGGCUAUAAAUAAGAGAGACUGGAUCUCACUUGGGAAGAGCAGAAGGUUUAAGGUCUCCCAAGACUGAGAUGAUCCAUGCUGUAGCAACUUUACCAAAGACUGGAUCUUGGAAAGAGCAGAAGGUUAAAUACCAA